CGACCGGCGCACGGGUGAGUAACGCGUAUGCAACUUACCUAUCAGAGGGAGAUAGCCCGGCGAAAGUCGGAUUAAUACCCCAUGAAACAGGGGUCCCGCAUGGGAAUAUUUGUUAAAGAUUCAUCGCUGAUAGAUAGGCAUGCGUUCCAUUAGGCAGUUGGCGGGGUAACGGCCCACCAAACCGACGAUGGAUAGGGGUUCUGAGAGGAAGGUCCCCCACAUUGGUACUGAGACACGGACCAA
rnacentral:rRNA from 1 species